rnacentral:rRNA from 1 species
UACAGAGGUGGCAAGCGUUGUUCGGAAUUACUGGGCGUAAAGGCCGCGUAGGCGGUCUUAUAAGUCUCGUGUGAAAUCCCUCGGCUUAACUGAGGAACUGCACGGGAUACUGCAAGACUUGAGUUCGGGAGAGGGAAGCGGAAUUCCGGGUGUAGCGGUGAAAUGCGUAGAUAUCCGGAGGAACACCGGUGGCGAAGGCGGCUUCCUGGACCGACACUGACGCUGAGGCGCGAAAGCUAGGGGAGCAAACGGG